AUCAAUAAUCCCAUUAAUCCCAUCAAUAAUGCCUUCAAGUGAUAAAUAAUCCCAUCAAUCCCUUUAAUUCAUGAAUAAUCCCAUCAAUUAAUCAAUAAACCCAUCAAUAAUCCCAUUAAUCCAUCAAUAAUCCCAUCAGACCCAUCAAUCCCCUCAAUCGUUCCAUUAAUCCAUCAAUAAUCCCAUUAAUCCACCCGUAACCCCAUUAACCCAUCAAUAAUCCCAUCAAUCAUCCCAUUAACGCAUCAAUAAUCCCAUUAAUCCACCAAUAACUCCAUUAAUCCACCAAUAACCCCAUUAACCCAUCAAUAACCCCAUUAAUCCAUCGAUAACCCCAUUAAUCCAUCGAUAACCCCAUUAACCCAUCAAUAAUCCCAUUAAUCCCAUCAAUAAUGCCUUCAGGUGAUAAAUAAUCCCAUCAAUCCCUUUAAUUCAUGAAUAAUCCCAUCAAUCAAUCAAUAAACCCAUCAAUAACCCCAUUAAUCCAUCCAUAAUCCCAUCAAACCCAUCAAUCCCAACAAUCGUUCCAUUAAUCCAUCAACAGUCCCAUUAAUCCACCAAUAACUCCAUUAACCCAUUAAUAAUCCCAGCAAUCUCAUCGAUCACCCCAUUAAUCCGUUAAUAACCUCAUUAAUUCAUCUAUAACCCCAUCAAUCCAUUAAUAAUUCUCUCAAUCCCAUCAAUCAUCCCAUUAAUUUAUCAAUAACCCCAUUAAGUCUCAUCAAUCUACCAAUAACCCCAUUAAUCCGUUAAUAGUCCCAUCAAUACAUCACUAAUCCCAUCAAACGCAUAAAUAAUCACAUUAAGCCAUCAACAAUUUAAUUAACCUCAUUAAUAGUCCCAUCAAUCCAACAAUAAUCCCAUCAACCCCAUCAAUCGUAUCAAUAAUCCCAUCUAUCUCAUUAAUAAUUCCAUUAAUCCAUUGUUAAUUACAUGAGAGCCAUCAAUAAUCCCAUUAACUCAUCAAUAAUCCCAUUAAUCCAAUUAAUUGCACCAAGUACCCCAUCAAUCCAUCAAUAAUCCCAUUAAUCCAAUCAUUAAUGCUUUUAAUCCCAUCAAAAAUCACAUUAAUCAUUAAAUGAACCCAAUUAAUACCCCCAUUAAUCCCAUCAAUUACCCUACUAAUCCCAUUAAUAAUCCCAUCAAUCCCAUUAAUAACAUUAAUAACUCUAUGAUUCUCAUCACUCAUAUUUAUAAUGCCUUUAAUGCCA
ensembl:lncRNA